rnacentral:rRNA from 1 species
UACGGAGGGAGCUAGCGUUGUUCGGAAUUACUGGGCGUAAAGCGCGCGUAGGCGGCUUUGUAAGUUGGAGGUGAAAGCCCGGGGCUCAACCCCGGAAUUGCCUUUAAGACUGCAUCGCUUGAAUCCGGGAGAGGUGAGUGGAAUUCCGAGUGUAGAGGUGAAAUUCGUAGAUAUUCGGAAGAACACCAGUGGCGAAGGCGGCUCACUGGACCGGCAUUGACGCUGAGGUGCGAAAGCGUGGGGAGCAAAACAGG